UCAUGUCAGAAUAGUCUUUUCAGGCCUAU
rnacentral:piRNA from 1 species